GAUAGCAUCAAAUUUUAUCAAUUCGACAAUUCGAUUUGUGAUUUCACAUUCAUGAACAUUGAUAAAAUAUUUCCAUUUAGUAGCACCUUAGGAUGGCAUAGCCUUAACCUUAAUGGUGAGGUUCACAAGAGGAAAGGCUUGUGGUGGAUACAUAGACACCCAUAGAUGAGGAAGGGCGUAGCAAGCGACGAAAUGUUUCGGGGAGUUGAAAAUAAGCACAGAUUCAGAGAUUUCCAAAUAGGCCGACCUUUUAAACUGCCAGCUGAAUCCAUGAGCAGGCAAGAGACAACCUGACGAAUUGAAACAUCUUAUUAG
rnacentral:rRNA from 1 species